GCACCCUGCCCGGUCUGACUCAGAUUCCACAGCUCCUCAGGCAAGCUAAGAAUCCCAGAGGCAGCUGCUGAGAGGCAGAGCAGAGGGCCGACUCUCUCUGCGUCCACCUGCUGCAGCUGGGGAGUCAAAGGCAGAGCCGGAGGCUUGACAGCUGAAGGGGGCCCCGGGCACGCACAGGGUCUAGACCAGGGUGGCCCAGCCUGCUGCCCGCUGCUCAGGCUGUGCCCCGCCCCUGUCACUCUGCCUGCGACCAGGUUAUGCCGGGGACUCCCCAGCUUCCUGACUCAGAGGGGAGUGUCUUGAGGGAUUUCUUUCCACUCCAGUGGUUCAUGGACGGAUGGAAAAUGCAAGUCACAUCAAGAUAGGAGUGCUCCCUAAAGUCCACAUUGUGAUGUGGAUUUGACUCGAAAUCAACAAGCACAACUAUGAUUAGAGCUGCUCCCUCAGCACUUUCUGUGGAGCCCCUGCGCAUCUGCCAGGUGUCAGAACAUUCAUGCGUCCUGUCCCCUGCUGGCCUGUAAGGGCCUGGAGCUGACGGUCUUUCCUACUCACCUCAUGAUCCUGGCACAGCAUUUGACACACUCAAGUCCAUGGGAAAGUUUAUUCAAGGAAGGAUCACAGACAGCAAGCUUGCCGGAGGCAAAGCCUGCUGGUCCUUCAGCGUUGGACUCCCUGGCACAGGCGGGGGAAGCAGCCUGGGGCCCGUGCCCUGUCCAAGGGACCCCGAUGGAGACCUCUGAGUUAGUAACUCCGAGGACUGUUUCAGGGCUGUGUGUUUGCGGGUGUGUGUGCGAUCCUUCUUUCCAGGAGAACCAGAAGAUCCCUCCCCUAAGGUGCGGUCCUUCUUUCCAGGAGAACCAGAAGAUCCCUCCCCUAAGGUGCGGUGCUGCUCCUGACCUUUACUCCAGAGAAAGACUAAGCCGUGGGCAGAGCAGCUCCCAGGCCCAGGGAGGCCUGCCCCCAGACACUGGGAAGCCGAGAGAAGGAAACUCAGCCAAGAUGAGAAGACUGAGGUUUACAGAAGUUAAGCAUCUUGUCCGAGGUCAGAGCAAUGGACCCCAUCUUCCGUGAAUUUCAGUGGGUUGUACCAGUAUUUCAACUAAAUUGGCCCAGUUGAGAGGAGUGGGAGCAUCUCUCCCUUCAGCUUCCCUUCCUACCAUUGCAUCUUGUCUGGAAUGCAAGAGAAACAAAGGCUCAGAGAGGCAAUUCUACUCUCCUUGUGGGGGCGUGACCUUCAGGAGCCCAUUUUUGUGAUACAAUCCCUUUUGACCGGCUCAACUCCUGUUGGAAUCCAGGCACUCCCAUAACCUUCUCUGGCUUAUUUUGGCAAGAAGGUGGCUGUUGAGAUGAAGAUGGAAUGUUUUCGGUUUGAGGAGAGGCAGUAGACACCAUGCCUUAAUCGGUAGAUGGUCAGAAGUUUUGGCACUGAAAAAAGCAAUGAGGUUUGGAGUGGAGGCAAGUGGCACAGCAGAGAAAGCCUUCCUGUGAGCAUUGGGAUACCAAGUCUGGUUUCAGAUCUGAUCCUUAAUGAAUGACCUUGGGCAAGUCCCUGUUCACUCGGUUGGCAACAUUCUGCGCGCCAGGCAUCGUGCUAAGUGACCUAACAUCACCGUAAGCCAAACUGGUGAGAGUCCCUUCACCUCUCGAGCUUAAUGUUUCAUUAGUAACCACGAACAAAUAUAUGAUCAGAAAUUGGGUGAGGAAAAAAUGCAAAGAAAAAAUGCAAAUGCAAAAAAUGCAAAGCACUAAACUGGUGCUUGGUGACCUGAGCUGUCACGGGAGGCGGUGUGGGGCUCAAGGAGGGCAUUCCUGAGGAAAUAGUUUUCACCGAUAUGAAGAAGGAAUGGAGUGCAACAAAAGCAAAAAUAGAGAACAUUACACUAAAAAGCUGCACAGCAAAGGAAAAGACAGAAUAAAAAGGCCUCCUCUGGAGUGAGAGAAAAUAUU
rnacentral:lncRNA from 1 species